rnacentral:rRNA from 1 species
CCUACGGGGGGCUGCAGUGGGGAAUAUUGGACAAUGGGGGCAACCCUGAUCCAGCCAUGCCGCGUGUGUGAAGAAGGCCCUCGGGUUGUAAAGCACUUUCAGUGAGGAAGAACGCCUGGUGGUUAAUACCCAUCAGGAAAGACAUCACUCACAGAAGAAGCGCCGGCUAACUCCGUGCCAGCAGCCGCGGUAAUACGGAGGGUGCGAGCGUUAAUCGGAAUUACUGGGCGUAAAGCGCGCGUAGGUGGCUUGAUAAGCCGGUUGUGAAAGCCCCGGGCUCAACCUGGGAACGGCAUCCGGAACUGUCAAGCUAGAGUGCAGGAGAGGAAGGUAGAAUUCCCGGUGUAGCGGUGAAAUGCGUAGAGAUCGGGAGGAAUACCAGUGGCGAAGGCGGCCUUCUGGACUGACACUGACACUGAGGUGCGAAAGCGUGGGUAGCAAACAGGAUUAGAUACCCGAGUAGUC